rnacentral:rRNA from 1 species
GAUGAACGCUAGCGGCAGGCUUAAUACAUGCAAGUCGAACGGUAAGUUUGGUAGCAAUAUCAAACCAAGAGUGACGUACGGGUGCGUAACACGUAUGCAACCUACCUUGUACAGGAGUAUAGCUCGGGGAAACUCGAAUUAACCCUCCAUGAGAUCAGUAGAAUGGCAUCAUUUAGUGAUUAAAACUCAGGUGGUACAAGAUGGGCAUGCGUCUGAUUAGAGUUGGCGGGGUAAUGGCCCACAAGAC